rnacentral:misc_RNA from 1 species
AUAAAUGAGCGAAAGCUUUUAUAUUAUCCAUAACACCUGUGAACUAUUUGCCUUUGGGCACCAAUACAAACAUAAAGUAAAGAAUGUAAACUAUUAUAACAAAAUA